rnacentral:rRNA from 1 species
AUUGAACGCUGGCGGCAGGCUUAACACAUGCAAGUCGAACGAGCGGCGGACUGGUGAGUAAUGGCUGGGAAACUGCCUGAUGUAGGGGGAUAACUACUGGAAAAGGUAGCUAAUACCGCUUACCAUCAGAUGGGCUCAGAUGGGAUUAGCUAGUGGUGGGGGUAAUGGCUCACCAAGGCGACGCGCCCUAGCUGGUCUGAGAGGAUGACCAGCCACACUGGGACUGAGACACGGCCCAGACUCCUACGGGAGGCAGCAGUGGGGAAUAUUCCACAAUGGACGAAAGCCUGACGCAGCCAUGCCGCGUGUGUGAAGAAGGCCUUCGGGUUGUAAAGCACUUUCGUCAGGGAGGCGUUACUCAAAGAAAAAGCACCGGCUAACUCCGUGCCAGCAGCCGCGGUAAUAC